UUAAUUAUACUGAUUGACUACAUCUCUUAUUAAAUAUGGCAGACGAUAAUUUAUCAUCUGACCUAGAACAGGUCGAUUCUCCUCCUAAAGUACAUUCUCCUCAGCCAUUAAGAAAAAAACGAGCUAAAACAAAAAAUGUGACACUGCCACAACAGUCUGACAAUUUAUUAUCUGAUGACAUUAUUAAAGCAAUGAAUAAGAUGGAAACACGUAGACAUAAAGCUUUAGAGCGUCAAUUUGUCAAAGCCAAGUGUGCUGCACAAUCGGCUUCUAACAUAUAUCAUUCUGAAAUGUCUGUUAAUCAACAACCUAUUGAUGACAGUCAUCAGGUCAAUGAGGAAACUGUAGAAAUUCAGUCACAAGAUCCUAUGUUUAGAGAACCACAAGGUCAAUUUAUGAUAGAUAUGUCUAGAGGAAUUGCACCUCAAGGGCCUAUUUCUUCAGGUGUUUUUCCUAUUAUUAAUCCACUAAAUAAAGGUCCUCCUGAAGCCACUUUCACCCCAACUGCUGCUGGUCUUAGGGGGGAAGAUAUUCAAAGCAGUGGUCAGGAAGUGGAUUUCCAAACAAUGGUUACACAUGCGAUUUCUAAAAUAUUUCAAGCAGGUUUGCAACAAACCAACUAUUCUUGUCAUGCUGGUGCAGCUACCAGUAAUCAAUAUCAUUCUCAUUCUAUCCCUAAACAACAGUAUUUUAGCUGUGGGGAUGACACAGAUUUGGAAGAAUUUGAUUUAUCAGAUGAUGAGGAAGACAUGACUCCAGAAAAACCAGCAUUUCAAGGUCUUUUCAAACCAGCUUUAUUCAAAUCAUUAUUACAUAAAGCAAAAGUAGCUACUAAUAUGGGACUAAAUUUAGAUAAGUCAUCUGAUCCUAGUACUCAAAUGAAUCCAAAUGAGAAUUUGUUUAAAGUACCCAAGUCUGAUUUGGACUUUGUUCCGUGUCCAGAUUUAUUUUCACAAGUUAUUAAAAAACCUUGGGAUCAUCCCAGUUCAACUUCUGGCCCCAAUAAUUUUGAUAAAAAAUUAUAUUGCUCUCCACCAGACUUGGAUGAAUUGUUGCAAUUGCCAUUAGUAGAUGAACCGAUAGCAACACUUACGUCAUCUUCUGUGUUAGUCAGUGAAGUUGGAGAAGGACUUAAAGUUGAAGACAAAAGAGCUGAAAUGACGUGUCGCAAAACUCAUCAGGCUGCGGCAUGGGCAAUUAGAGCUGCAAUUUCGGCUUCAUUUUUUAACCGGGCCUCUCUUAUUUGGCUAAGACAAUUAAGAGAUAGAUUACCACCUGAAGAAUCUAGGAUUCAGCAAGACAUAUCUAAAAUUAUUGCAGCAGCAGAGUACUCUGCAGAUGCUUCAUUAGAUGCUGCGAAAUUCGCUUCCAGGGCAUUAGCAUCUUCUGUAACAUCAAGAAGAAUUCUUUGGUUAUGUCACUGGAAAGCUGAUUCACGGUCAAAAUGGAGGCUUGCAUCAGCUCCUUAUAAGGGCCAUUCUCUAUUUGGAGAGUCUUUGCAACAGGUUCUAGUAGAAGGCAGGGAUAAAAAGAAGAUUUUACCCUCUUUGUACAGAAGACCAGAACGCAGAUAUUCUCCUUUUCAACGACAUUUUUUUCGCUAUGAUCAAGGAAAUUCAAAUACCUACACACAACGUGGUAAUUUUCAACCAUACUAUUCUUCAUACUCGAGUAAUAGAAAUUCCUUUCGAGGAAGAGGCAGCCACCAAUCAUCUUUCAGAAGACCUUUUCGAGGAGCGAUGUCACGUCAAUCUCGUAGAGGCAAGUGACUCGAAUUCUUCCCUUCCCAUUGGGGGCAAACUUCAACUAUUUUGUCACCAAUGGGAGGAAUCAACAACGGAUGCAUGGAUCUUACGUACGGUGACCAGCGGCCUCACCUUGGAAUUCACCUCAAAUCCAUCGAACAGAUUCAUCCAAUGUCCAUGGUCAACUCAACCCUUACAACAAAAUCUGAUGAAUCUCGAGAUCAAGCACCUGAAACAAAUCAAAGCGAUCGAGGAGGUUCCAAAAGAUCAAAUUCAAACCGGGUUCUAUUCGAUCUUUUUUCUGGUGCCAAAAAACUCAGGGGGUUGGAGGGGAAUUCUGAAUUUGAGGCAGCUGAAUGUGAAUGUUUUAUACAGAAGAUUCAAAAUGCAUUCACUAAAGUCGAUUCUACAAUGUGUAAGACAACGAGAUCUCAUGCAAUCUAUAGACCUCAAAGAAGCAUAUUUACAUGUGCCCAUCCACCCAAGGCACAGACAAUACCUCAGAUUUGCAUAUGCGGACAGACACUUUCAGUACAGGGCAAUGCCUUUUGGCCUUUCUUCUGCACCAAGAACAUUCACGAAGUUGUUAGCGGCAGUGGCGGCCAAUCUCAGGUCAAUUCCAAUACGUCUAGUAUGUUAUCUGGACGACAUUUUGAUUUUGUCAACAUCAAAAGAUCAGGCAUGUCGGGACAGAGAAUUAGUCAUCCAAUCUUUACAAAAUCACGGUUUUACAAUCAACGUGGACAAAAGUCAUUUAUCACCAACAACUCGAUUGUUGCACCUAGGUGCAAUCAUAGAUUCAGAAUUGGGUUUAGUUUACCUGUCUCCAGACAGACAAAACAGCAUCAAGAGUUUAGUUAUGCAAGUAAUAUCGCAGAAGAAAACUGCUCUAUUAACACUGUCUCAACUUCUAGGCAAGCUAAUAUCUGCAAUUACAAUAGUACCAUGGGCUCGUUACCACACUCGCCAUCUACAGUGGUUUCUGUUACCUUUUCAAAGGCAAAGACGAGCGGAUUCUCUUCACAAAGUGGUGGUACCAACACGAGUAAAAAUAUCUCUAUGUUGGUGGAUAACAGAGGCAAUUCAGAAAGGUUCUCUGUUUCUACAAUCAGAACGAGUAACGUUAACAACGGAUGCAAGUCUUUAUGGAUGGGGUGCACAUCUCAAUUCCUUAAUAGUGCAGGGAAUUUGGUCUACGUCGGAGAAAAACCAACCAAUUAACUGGUUGGAAUUAAGAGCAGUGCGCCUGGCGUUAAUUCAUUUUCAACAACAUGUGACCAACAAGCAUGUCCUGAUUUUAAUGGACAAUAUGACAACAAAGGCACAUUUGAAUCGUCAGGGAGGAACAAAAUCAAAACCUCUAAUGGAAGAAACAGAUCGUCUCAUGUCUUGGGCGGAGAAACAUGUCUUAUCGAUAAAAGCAUAGCAUAUAUCAGGAGAAAUAAAUGUACAAGCAGACUGGCUAAGCCGGGGCAAAAUACACCAAUCAGAGUGGAUGUUAGAUCCCAAGCUGUUCAAACAGAUAUCUCUCAGGUUCGGUCGACCAAUAGUGGACCUAUUUGCUACAGCUCAAAACGCCCAGUUAGCAAGAUUUUUUUCUCGAUUUCCAACUCGAGCAGAAGGCCAAGAUGCUCUAAGAUCUCCUUGGCCGCAAGGGCUCCUGUAUGCAUUCCCUCCAGUUCCAAUAAUUCAGAGUGUAAUUCACAAAUUGAGGAAGGAAAGAGCAGACAUGAUAUUGAUAGCACCUUAUUGGCCUCGCAGACCAUGGUUUGCAGACCUCUUAGAUCUUUCAAUAGAAACUCCUUGGAGAAUUCCUCCAAAUCAGAUAGUACUACUUCAAGGAGAAAUAAGACAUCCAAAGCCAGACUGGUUACAAUUGACCGUCUGGCGCUUGAAAGGUCCAGAUUAACAAAAGAUCAUAUCCCUUCAGAAGUAAUUGCAACUAUUCAAGCAGCCAGAAGACCAUCUACUACGCGUAUUUACAAUGCGUCUUGGAAGGCAUUUGUAGAAUGGUGUAGUACAAGUCACGUAGAUCCUACAUCGGCAACAGUACUUGAGGUACUAUUAUUUCUUCAAUCUGGUUUAGACAAGGGUCUGGCUCCUUCAACAUUGAAGAGACAAGUAGCAGCAUUGGCUACAGUCAUAGAUGGACCAAGUAAGAAAUCUCUUUCACAAGAUAUGAGAAUUAAAUCCUUCCUAAGGGGAGCUAUGAAUUUAAGACCUCCUAUUGUUCACAGAUAUCCUUCAUGGGAUAUGAAUUUAGUACUACAAGCAUUAACAAAAAAACCAUUUGAACCACUGGCAUCUAUAAGUAUGAGAUAUCUAACUUUGAAAUUAGCUUUUCUAAUAGCAGUAACAUCUGCACGUAGAAUAUCAGAAAUAGCUGCUCUUUCAAUUAGGAAGGAUUUAUGUAUAUUUUAUACAGAUAGAGUAGUACUUAGAUUAGAUCCAUCCUUUAUACCAAAAAUUAACUCAUAUUUCCAUAGAGCUCAAGAAGUAAUUUUACCAAACUUUUGUCCAGAUCCUAAACAUCCUAGGGAAAAAAUGUGGCACACACUAGAUGUACGUAGAUCAUUAAGACGUUAUAUAAAAAGAACUGAAUCGUUUAGACAAACUGAAGCACUAUUUGUAUCAUACUUACCUUCUACAAUGGGUAAGAAAGUGUCUUCUAAUACAGUGGGGCGCUGGAUUAAAGCAUGCAUAUCUGUGGCAUAUAAUUCACAAGGGGAAAGUUUACCUGAAGAGUGUUACCACAUUCAACACGCAGUGCUGCAACUUCAGCUACCUGGGCUACACAGGCAUCUGUAGAUGAAAUAUGUAAGGCAGGCUACAUGGUCAUCUAUUUCAUCCUUUGUUAAACAUUACAGAUUAGAUUCUUUUGCAUCAGCUGAUGCGGCGUUCGGGAGAAGAGUUUUACAAUCAAUAAUCUCCCCACGAAGCCAGGACAAUGACAAGGAGUAAUUCCCACCCUAAUUUAUUAAGCUUGGGCAUAUCCCAGAACUGAGGAAUGUCGGUGCAACGAUGCAUGAAAAUGGAACAUUGGAUUACCUGAAUGUCCAUUUUAUGAUCGUUGCGACAACAUUCCGUCCCACCCUUGGCGUAUUGCCUGGUGGUCGUGGGGGGUAUCUUUCUUUUUUCACCUCUGCAGUUACAGUUCCGCUGAGUGUAUUCUUCAGAUCUGAUGGAGGUAGACUUCGUGAAAUGACUGAGCAUGCGCAGAAGGCGGAGGCGGAACCAUACUGCAGAGGGAGAUAAAUAUUUGACAAGCACUCAGUAAGACAAAUCGAAUGAGUGAAGGUCCCAGAACUGAGGAAUGUCGUCGCAACGAUCAUAAAAUGGACAUUCAGGGGCUGUAAAUUAUGUGAACUUCAAAGGAGAAGGGAAGUUGUAGAAACUUGAAAGAUAUAAAGUAGCUUUAGUCCAUUUAUUAAAGAAAGAGGAAGAAAUCACACUGAUUGUUGGUUCAUUU